UAACGUCUACCGACUAAACCCCAACCAGC
rnacentral:sRNA from 1 species